GAUGAACGCUGGCGGCGUGCCUAAUGCAUGCAAGUCGAGCGAACAGAUAAGGAGCUUGCUCCUUUGACGUUAGCGGCGGACGGGUGAGUAACACGUGGGUAACCUACCUAUAAGACUGGGAUAACUUCGGGAAACCGGAGCUAAUACCGGAUAAUAUUUCGAACCGCAUGGUUCGAUAGUGAAAGAUGGUUUUGCUAUCACUUAUAGAUGGACCCGCGCCGUAUUAGCUAGUUGGUAAGGUAACGGCUUACCAAGGCGACGAUAUGUAGCCGACCUGAGAGGGGGAUCGGCCACACUGGAACUGAGCACCGGUCCAGACUCCUACGGGAGGCAGCAGUAGGGAAUCUUCCGCAAUGGGCGAAAGCCUGACGGAGCAACGCCGCGUGAGUGAUGAAGGUCUUCGGAUCGUAAAACUCUGUUAUUAGGGAAGAAAAUACGUGUAAGUAACUGUGCACCUCUUGACGGUACCUAAUCAAAAAGCCACGGCUAACUACGU
rnacentral:rRNA from 1 species